GACGAACGCUGGCGGCGUGCUUAACACAUGCAAGUCGAACGGAAAGGCCCUGCUUUUGUGGUGUGCUCGAUUGGCGAACGGGUGAGUAACACGUGAGUAACCUGCCCUUGACUUUGGGAUAACUUCAGGAAACUGGGGCUAAUACCGGAUAGGAUCUCCUGCUGCAUGGUGGGGGUUGGAAAGUUUCGGCGGUUGGGGAUGGACUCGCGGCUUAUCAGCUUGUUGGUGGGGUAGUGGCUUACCAAGGCUUUGACGGGUAGCCGGCCUGAGAGGGUGACCGGCCACAUUGGGACUGAGAUACGGCGCAGACUCCUACGGGAGGCAGCAGGGGGGAAUAUUGCACAAUGGGCGGAAGCCUGAUGCAGCAACGCCGCGUGCGGGAUGACGGCCUUCGGGUUGUAAACCGCUUUCGCCUGUGACGAAGCGUGCGUGACGGUAAUGGGUAAAGAAGCACCGGCUAACUACGUG
rnacentral:rRNA from 1 species